GGGGAUGUAGCUCAGAUGGUAGAGCGCUCGCUUAGCAUGCGAGAGGUACAGGGUCAAACCAGUGAAAACGCUA
rnacentral:tRNA from 1 species